rnacentral:rRNA from 1 species
UACGUAGGGAGCAAGCGUUGUCCGGAAUCAUUGGGCGUAAAGAGCGCGUAGGUGGCUUUAUAAGUCCGUUGUGAAAGUCAAAGGCUCAACCUUUGAAAGCCGAUGGAUACUGUGAAGCUAGAGUACGGAAGAGGCGAGUGGAAUUCCUGGUGUAGCGGUGAAAUGCGCAGAUAUCAGGAGGAACACCAACGGCGAAGGCAGCUCGCUGGGACGGUACUGACACUGAGGCGCGAAAGCGUGGGGAGCGAACAGG